rnacentral:tRNA from 1 species
UUGGUGAGAUGAUGGCUCAGUGGUUAUGGUAUUAGACUACUGAUCUGAAGGUUGUGAGUUCCAAUCCCACCACCAAG